rnacentral:rRNA from 1 species
AGAGUUUGAUCCUGGACUCAGGAUGAACGCUGGCGGCGUGCCUAACACAUGCAAGUCGAACGGAAAUUACAGUAAGGAAGUUUUCGGAUGGAAUUUUGUAAUUUUAGUGGCGGACGGGUGAGUAACACGUGGGUAACCCUGCCCUGUACCGGGGGAUAACAGUUGGAAACGGCUGUUAAUACCGCAUAAGCGCACAGCUCCGCAUGGAGCAGUGUGAAAAACUCCGGUGGUACAGGAUGGACCCGCGUCUGAUUAGCUAGUUGGCGGGGUAACGGCCCACCAAGGCGACGAUCAGUAGUCGGCCUGAGAGGGUGAACGGCCACAUUGGGACUGAGACACGGCCCAGACUCCUACGGGAGGCAGCAGUGGGGAAUAUUGCACAAUGGAGGAAACUCUGAUGCAGCGACGCCGCGUGAGCGAUGAAGUAUUUCGGUAUGUAAAGCUCUAUCAGCAGGGAAGAUAAUGACGGUACCUGACUAAGAAGCCCCGGCUAACUACGUGCC